UGUCUACACGUUUUCUAUCUUACUAAACUUCUAUGGUUUUGAUGCCCUAACUACAGGAAAGCUUUUGUUGUUUUUUUUGUUUGUUUGUUUGUUUGCAGCUGUUGGCAUUUUCAGACUGCCAACUUCUUCAGCUUCAUCUCUGGGAUAUAUGAAGCAAAAGAAUAUCCAUGGAACUCAUCAUGUCAAGAUCCCAAUUCGGUCCAAUGAGACAUGGAGAUGACAACAGACGGAAGUACACAGCAGGUGUAAAGCAGGAUACUCUCUUCCCUACUGCCUUUGCACAGUAGGGCAGUCAGACAACCUGGGUUCUGGACGCAGAUCUGGCCCGUAUGAGCUGAGUGACCUGAUGAAGGCUGGCACAGCAAGGAGCUGGGAGCUACUGUCAGCGUCCCUUCACCCCGGGCAUGGUGCCAAUCACUUGACACACGCUUCCUUUUUAUCCUCACAACAAUUCUGUAAAAGGUUUCCACCUAUUCUGCAUGAAUACAGCAGCUGCUUCCGGUGCCAGAAAGGGCGAGAUUAGUAUUCCAGUGGCCCUGCGGGUUCCAACGGCCCUGCUGGCACAACUCGCAGAGACAAGUAUUUUGCAAAGAUGAUGACGGGUCCGGGAGGAAAACAAAAGGAAAUGUAUUUUCCUCACUACUCUGUGAGGAUCGAAUAAAAUCCCACCACCAGAGUA